rnacentral:rRNA from 1 species
UGGGGAAUAUUGGACAAUGGGCGAAAGCCUGAUCCAGCCAUGCCGCGUGUGUGAAGAAGGUCUUCGGAUUGUAAAGCACUUUAAGUUGGGAGGAAGGGCAUUAACCUAAUACGUUAGUGUUUUGACGUUACCGACAGAAUAAGCACCGGCUAACUCUGUGCCAGCAGCCGCGGUAAUACAGAGGGUGCAAGCGUUAAUCGGAAUUACUGGGCGUAAAGCGCGCGUAGGUGGUUUGUUAAGUUGAAUGUGAAAUCCCCGGGCUCAACCUGGGAACUGCAUCCAAAACUGGCAAGCUAGAGUAGGGCAGAGGGUGGUGGAAUUUCCUGUGUAGCGGUGAAAUGCGUAGAUAUAGGAAGGAACACCAGUGGCGAAGGCGACCACCUGGGCUCAUACUGACACUGAGGUGCGAAAGCGUGGGGAGCAAACAG